UACGUAGGGUGCAAGCGUUGUCCGGAAUUAUUGGGCGUAAAGAGCUCGUAGGCGGUCUGUCGCGUCUGCUGUGAAAACUCGGGGCUUAACCCCGGGCCUGCAGUGGGUACGGGCAGACUAGGGUGCGGUAGGGGAGAUUGGAAUUCCUGGUGUAGCGGUGGAAUGCGCAGAUAUCAGGAGGAACACCGAUGGCGAAGGCAGAUCUCUGGGCCGUAACUGACGCUGAGGAGCGAAAGCAUGGGGAGCGAACAGG
rnacentral:rRNA from 1 species